GGGGAGUGCCGUUGCUUCGAGGGUUUCCAUGGCACGGCGUGCGAGGACUGUGAGCCAGGACGUUACGGCGUCAACUGUACCUCCAAGUGUGUGUGUGACCAUGGAAAGUGUGAGGACGGUCUUGCAGGAAGUGGCAGGUGUGUGUGCUAUAAAGGUUGGAAAGGAGCUUCCUGCUCUGUAGAGAUCAAGGACGACGCCUGUGGAGGUGUGUGUGAUGAGAACGCCAACUGUAUAACAGGACCAGAUGGUUCAGCUGCUGUGUGCUUGUGUGUAGCUGGAUAUGAAGGCAAUGGAACUUACUGCAAAG